rnacentral:rRNA from 1 species
GCAUGAGUGAAGAAGGCCUUUGGGUUGUAAAGCUCUUUUAGUGAGGAAGAUAAUGACGGUACUCACAGAAGAAGUCCUGGCUGAACUCCGUGCCAGCAGCCGCGGUAAUACGGAGAGGGCUAGCGUAUUCGGAAUUAUUGGGCGUAAAGGGCGCGUAGGCGGAUUAGUAAGUUAAAAGUGAAAUCCCAAGGCUCAACCUUGAAUUGCUUUUAAAACUGCUAGUCUAGAGAUUGAAAGAGGAUAGAGGAAUUCCUAGUGUAGAGGUGAAAUUCGUAAAUAUUAGGAGGAACACCAGUGGCGAAGGCGUCUAUCUU